GAAGCUUGCUUCUCUGAUGUUAGCGGCGGACGGGUGAGUAACACGUGGAUAACCUACCUAUAAGACUGGGAUAACUUCGGGAAACCGGAGCUAAUACCGGAUAAUAUUUUGAACCGCAUGGUUCAAAAGUGAAAGACGGUCUUGCUGUCACUUAUAGAUGGAUCCGCGCUGCAUUAGCUAGUUGGUAAGGUAACGGCUUACCAAGGCAACGAUGCAUAGCCGACCUGAGAGGGUGAUCGGCCACACUGGAACUGAGACACGGUCCAGACUCCUACGGGAGGCAGCAGUAGGGAAUCUUCCGCAAUGGGCGAAAGCCUGACGGAGCAACGCCGCGUGAGUGAUGAAGGUCUUCGGAUCGUAAAACUCUGUUAUUAGGGAAGAACAUAUGUGUAAGUAACUGUGCACAUCUUGACGGUACCUAAUCAGAAAGCCACGGCUAACUACGUGCCAGCAGCCGCGGUAAUACGUAGGUGGCAAGCGUUAUCCGGAAUUAUUGGGCGUAAAGCGCGCGUAGGCGGUUUUUUAAGUCUGAUGUGAAAGCCCACGGCUCAACCGUGGAGGGUCAUUGGAAACUGGAAAACUUGAGUGCAGAAGAGGAAAGUGGAAUUCCAUGUGUAGCGGUGAAAUGCGCACAGAUAUGUGAGGAACACCAGUGGCGAAAGCGACUUUCUG
rnacentral:rRNA from 1 species